rnacentral:rRNA from 1 species
UGGGGAAUUUUGGACAAUGGACGCAAGUCUGAUCCUGCAAUGCCGCGUGCAGGAUGAAGGCCUUCGGGUUGUAAACUGCUUUUGUACGGAGCGAAAAGGUCUGCCCUAAUACGGUGGGCUCAUGACGGUACCGCAAGAGUAAGCACCGGCUAACUACGUGCCAGCAGCCGCGGUAAUACGUAGGGUGCGAGCGUUAAUCGGAAUUACUGGGCGUAAAGCGUGCGCAGGCGGUUAUGCAAGACAGAGGUGAAAUCCCCGGGCUCAACCUGGGAACUGCCUUUGUGACUGCAUAGCUAGAGUACGGUAGAGGGGGAUGGAAUUCCGCGUGUAGCAGUGAAAUGCGUAGAUAUGCGGAGGAACACCGAUGGCGAAGGCAAUCCCCUGGACCUGUACUGACGCUCAUGCACGAAAGCGUGGGGAGCAAACA